rnacentral:lncRNA from 1 species
AACUUUAACAUAAUGAAUAUGUCACAUUUGUUUUUCUUAAGAAUUUAAAGGUCCUACCAGGAUGGCUCAACUCAUGAGAACCUACUGGAAUGAAGCAAAAGUAACCCCAAAUCAAGUAUUACCACUCUAAGACCGACACUGAAAACUUGGAGAGGGAAUUUGGAGCCAGAAUAUUGGCUGUCCCCAUGGUUUGGGGACAGUGAAUGUGCCCAUCCUCGCUCCUCCUGUAAGUUCCUGGAAAAGCCAUUUGAAGUUGGAAGGAUGUCAAAGGACUGCAGGAAAGCUUUUUACAGUACUAAUCACACCUGAGGAUUUCGGUAAUCAGCUGGUCCAAUUGGAAGCCUCUGAGUCCCAGUGAAGCACACAACUGGUCUUUUUAUCACAGAACAACAAUCAACAGUGAGUUGACGAUAUUUUUCAAGUAAGAA